rnacentral:lncRNA from 1 species
GCUCGGUACAAGCUACUGCGAGCAGCUGCAACAAAACACUUGGUAGGCCUCAGGAGAGGAGAGCACUCUACUGUUGCGUCAAUAUUUGUAAACGGACAGACAUCAUUAACUGUUUCAAAUCGAGUUUGAAGGACAACGACAAUCGUAAUUUGUUUAAUUUUUAACAGGCGUCUGGAGGAUAUGAAAAGAAGCUCGUGCUUAAUAACUGCGAACUAGCCCGCUAGCCAAAGUUAGCGGACUGGACUGUGCUUGGUGAUGAUUAGUCCAGAGACUGACAUGGGCGGAGGCAAAUGCUGGAAACCACAAUCUAAACUUUGUUCCCAUAAAAACGCUUGGCUAAUUUGCAUGUGAUGCACGGACUCCAGUUGAGCUGUACACGGCCAUGGAAAAAAGAGAGAAAAAGGAGCUGGACGAGCUCACCCUCCGCUUGCAGAGGGACGGUGUGUCCCCUGAGGCUCCAGCAGAGGAGCGUGAGCUGCACCUGUGGCUUUUGCUCCAGCGCAGCGAGGGCAGCCUAAGCGCAGCCAGUGAAGACCUGCAGACUUUACGCACACAGCAGGCCAGCGAGAUGAGAGAGGUGGAAAAUUACGUGGAGCAUAUUCGAAACAUGCUGGAGGAGCGGGAAUCUCUAACAGCGGAGUACGAACGUGACAGCGAACAACUCCGUGCUGAGCUCGCCCUAAUGAAACACCAACAGGACUCCCAGUGUAAGGAGGUGGUGGAGAUGCUGGAGCAGGAGGGUCUAGCAGAGAUCAGUCAGAGCAGUGCCAGUGAGCAGGUGGCCUAUCUGCUGGUGGAGAGAGUCACUCUCCUGGAGAGACUGGAAGCUGCAGAAAGAAAACUGGACACCCAGACCCUCACUGGCAACCUCAGAGAGGUGCAUCUGCAGGAAGAGCUGGAUCAUAUGCGUCACACAUGGGAAGAGGAACUCAGGCAGCAAAAGGAAAGCAUGAAUAAGGUGAGAAGAUCUGUGUCACAUGAGCAGAAAGCAACUUCAAAAGCAGCGCGUUGAAGUCAUAUCCCAUUUAUCUAUAUUUAAUUGUUUCAUUGUCCAUCUCUUGAUAUGUUCUGCAUCAUAAUUUCUCCCGA